CCCUUAUUCAGAGUGGUGGAGGUACAAAGGACCUGUGAAGCCACGGCAACCCCGGAUGAGCGCCGAGUGCGCGAGAGAGCCGGAAGGUGCCAACCUGAGCGAGGAGCGGCCGGAGAAUCAUCGGCGCGCUUGAUCGAGCAAUAAGAG
rnacentral:ncRNA from 2 species